rnacentral:ncRNA from 2 species
CGCACACCGUUGGGGUGCCUUUGAAAAGGCUGAGAGGCGUGAACGCGCUAACCCAUCGAACCUGAUCCGGGCAAUUCCGGCGUAGGGAACGGUCUUCAGCUCGCG